rnacentral:rRNA from 1 species
UACGAAGGGGGCUAGCGUUGCUCGGAAUCACUGGGCGUAAAGCGCACGUAGGCGGAUUGCUAAGUCAGGGGUGAAAUCCUGGAGCUCAACUCCAGAACUGCCUUUGAUACUGGCGACCUUGAGUCCGGGAGAGGUGAGUGGAACUGCGAGUGUAGAGGUGAAAUUCGUAGAUAUUCGCAAGAACACCAGUGGCGAAGGCGCUCACUGGCCCGGUACUGACGCUGAGGUGCGAAAGCGUGGGGAGCAAACA